rnacentral:rRNA from 1 species
CCUACGGGAGGCAGCAGUGAGGAAUCUUCCGCAAUGGGGGCAACCCUGACGGAGCGACACCGCGUGAAGGAUGACGCCUUAUUCGGGUGUAAACUUCUGUUCUGAGGGACGAAAUUUUUGACGGUACCUCAGGAGAAAGCACCGGCUAAAUCCGUGCCAGCAGCCGCGGUAAUACGGAUGGUGCAAGCGUUACUCGGAAUUACUGGGCGUAAAGCGUCCGCAGGCUUUUUUAUAAGUCUGGUGUUAAAGCACGGAGCCCAACUCCGUGUCUGUACCGGAAACUAUAGAAAUAGAGUCACUCAGAGGCAUCUGGAAUGCCGUGUGUAGGGGUAAAAUCCGUUGAUCCACGGUAGAACGCUAAAAGCGAAGGCAGGAUGCUGGGAGUGUACUGACGCUCAGGGACGAAAGCGUGGGGAGCGAAGGGGAUUAGAUACCCCCGUAGUCCACGCCCUAAACGAUGCGUGCUCGGUGUUGGGAUUUUUCAAUUGAUCUCAGUGCCUCAAGCUAACGCGGUAAGCACGCCGCCUGGGGAGUACGGCCGCAAGGCUAAAACUCAAAGGAAUAGACGGGGACCCACACAAGCGGUGGAGCAUGGGGUUUAAUUCGAUGAUAAGCGGAGAACCUCACCUAGGUUUGACAUCCCGGAAAUCGACUGGAAACAGUUGAGUGCCGCAAGGAAUCCGGUGACAGGUGGUGCACGGUCGUCGUCAGCUCGUGCCUUGAGGUGUACUGUUAAGUCAGCAAACGAGCGCAACCCUAAUCCUAUGUUGCUUUUUCAUAGGAGACUGCCGCCUCCAAGGCGGAGGAAGGUUAGGAUGACGUCAGAUCUGCGUGUCCCUUAUGCCUAGGGCAACACCCGUGCUACAAUGGUCGGUACAAAGGGCAGCCAACCCGCGAGGGGGAGCCAAUCCCAUCAAAACCGGCCUCAGUUCGGAUUGAAGUCUGCAACUCGACUUCAUGAAGCUGGAAUCGCUAGUAACCGUGAAUCAGCUACGUCACGGUGAAUAUGUUCCUGGGUCUUGUACUCACCGCCCGUCAAGUCAUGAAAGGCAGGGGCGCCCGAAGCACCGUUACUCUCACGAGGCGGUACCACGGUGAAACUGCUGAUUGGGACUAAGUCGUAACAAGGUAUCCGUAGGAGAACCUGCGGAUGGAACACUUCCUUACCAGGGA